rnacentral:rRNA from 1 species
AGUCGAACGGUAACAGAAAGCAGCUUGCUGCUUUGCUGACGAGUGGCGGACGGGUGAGUAAUGUCUGGGAAACUGCCCGAUGGAGGGGGAUAACUACUGGAAACGGUAGCUAAUACCGCAUAACGUCGCAAGACCAAAGAGGGGGACCUUCGGGCCUCUUGCCAUCGGAUGUGCCCAGAUGGGAUUAGCUAGUAGGUGGGGUAAAGGCUCACCUAGGCGACGAUCCCUAGCUGGUCUGAGAGGAUGACCAGCCACACUGGAACUGAGACACGGUCCAGACUCCUACGGGAGGCAGCAGUGGGGAAUAUUGCACAAUGGGCGCAAGCCUGAUGCAGCCAUGCCGCGUGUAUGAAGAAGGCCUUCGGGUUGUAAAGUACUUUCAGCGGGGAGGAAGGGAGUAAAGUUAAUACCUUUGCUCAUUGACGUUACCCGCAGAAGAAGCACCGGCUAACUCCGUGCCAGCAGCCGCGGUAAUACGGAGGGUGCAAGCGUUAAUCGGAAUUACUGGGCGUAAAGCGCACGCAGGCGGUUUGUUAAGUCAGAUGUGAAAUCCCCGGGCUCAACCUGGGAACUGCAUCUGAUACUGGCAAGCUUGAGUCUCGUAGAGGGGGGUAGAAUUCCAGGUGUAGCGGUGAAAUGCGUAGAGAUCUGGAGGAAUACCGGUGGCGAAGGCGGCCCCCUGGACGAAGACUGACGCUCA